AUUGAACGCUGGCGGCAUGCCUAACACAUGCAAGUCGAACGGUAACGGGCCUACGGGUGCCGACGAGUGGCGGACGGGGGCGGAAUACAUCGGAACGUGCCCGAUCGUGGGGGUUAACGAGGCGAAAGGUAUGCUAAUACAGCAUACGAUCUACGGAGGAAAGCGGGGGAACGCAAGGGCUCGCGCGGACGUGGGGGCCGAUGGCAGAUUAGGUAGUUGGUGGGAUAAAAGCGUACCAAGCCGACGAUCUGUAGCUGGUCUGAGAGGAUGAUCAGCCACACUGGGACUGAGACACGGCCCAGACUCCUACGGGAGGCAGCAGUGGGGAAUUUUGGACAAUGGGCGCAAGCCUGAUCCAGCCAUGCCGCGUGCGUGAUGAAGGCCUUCGGGUUGUAAACUGCUUUUGUACGGAACGAAAAGCCUUCUUUUAAUACAGGAGGGUCAUGACGGUACCGUAAGAAUAAGCACCGGCUAACUACGUG
rnacentral:rRNA from 1 species